rnacentral:rRNA from 1 species
CCAGCCUGCCCAGUGACCAAGUUCAACGGCCGCGGUAUCCUAACCGUGCGAAGGUAGCGUAAUCACUUGUUCUUUAAAUAAGGACUAGUAUGAACGGCACCACGAGGGUUAUACUGUCUCCUUUUUCCAAUCAAUGAAACUGAUCUUCCCGUGAAGAAGCGGGGAUACUUCUAUAAGACGAGAAGACCCUAUGGAGCUUCAAACCAAAUAGCAUCGGCUAUACCUUAAUAUUUUAAUCAAUAACUUUUAUUAUCGCCCUCUGACUAUUAGUUUUAGGUUGGGGUGACCGCGGAACAAAAAUUAACCUCCAUGGUGAAAACUUUUCCUGAGCCAAGAGCCACAGCUCUAAGCACCAAAACAUUGACACAAAUUGACCCAAUAACUUGAGCAACGAACCAAGUUACCCUAGGGAUAACAGCGCAAUCCACUUCAAGAGCUCCUAUCGACAAGUGGGUUUACGACCUCGAUGUUGGAUCAGGGUAUCCUAGUGGUGCAGCCGCUACUAACGGUUCGUUUGUUCAACGAUUAAAACCCU